UUGAGUAUAGGCAUAUUGUUUAGGGUUAGGGUUGGGGUUUGAUAAUGCUUCGAGCGGCGACGAGGCGUGACUCGCAGACCGACGAGUUGCUUCUGAGGAGAUCUCACUCUGACGGAGCAUCCAAUGACCGGCUCUUGUAGCUCCCCGGAUCCGCCUAUUACGUGCAAGUAAUGCAUGCCCAUACUCAUUUAGAUUUCAAGCAGAAGAUGAAACUCCCGCUUAUAUCCGAACAUUGAAUCAAUGAUUUACCACAAAAAAUAGCCUUCACUGUGGAGGGGACCUUGACCUGACCGCAUAAAAGUUCUCUGUAAGAUAAAGACGGCGGCGAUGUGAUGAGACAGAAUGAGGACGACGCCUUAAAGGUGAAGUGAUGGAGUAUAAGAGAGGGGAGAGGCCGCGAACGCUGCAAUAUGUGGAGCAGAAGACAGAUUUUCUGAUACAACGGUAGCUUUUGGCCCCCUGGACGACUCCCCAAUUCUGGCGACGACACUACAGCUCUGUCGGCUUUCCAUGAAUGGGGAAUUUGUAUCUAUACUUUAUGCGGGUAGGAAAAUAUGAAAUUCUUUUGAUGAGGUCAAGAAUUGUAUUUUGUUUUUGUUCUGACACACCAAUGACUUAGUCGUCAUUGAUGGUGAGUUGGUGUCUGUAACUUUUCAGUGGCCAUGAAUGGGAAAUUUGUAUCUGUAUUUCAUUAAAGAUUAGAAAAUUUGAAUGCUUUUUUAAGAGGCCAUGAAUUGUAACUUUGGGUUUAUGCUAUCA